UACUGGGAAUGCUGUGGAAAUCCUUUAGCC
rnacentral:piRNA from 1 species